AACGAACGCUGGCGGCAUGCUUAACACAUGCAAGUCGAACGGGGUGUGAUUACUUUGUGAUUGCACUUAGGUGGCAGACGGGUGAGUAACGCGUGGGAACGUACCUUCAAGUCUUGGAUAACUAUUGGAAACGAUGGCUAAUACGGGAUGUGACCGAGAGGUUAAAGGUUUACUGCUUGAAGAGCGGCCCGCGUUAGAUUAGGUAGUUGGUGUGGUAAAGGCGCACCAAGCCGAUGAUCUAUAGCUGGUCUGAGAGGAUGAUCAGCCACACUGGGACUGAGACACGGGCCCAGACUCCUACGGGAGGCAGCAGUGGGGAAUAUUGGACAAUGGGGGCAACCCUGAUCCAGCAAUGCCGCGUGAAUGAAGAAGGCCUUAGGGUUGUAAAGUUCUUUUGUUAGAGAAGACUAAUGACGUUAUUUAACGAAUAAGCACCGGCUAACUUCGUGCCAGCAGCCGUCGGUAAAGU
rnacentral:rRNA from 1 species